CAACGGGCCUAGCUGCAUCUGAACUCUGGUGUGCCUGCUAGUUUUCUAUUCCCAUUGGUACUUUUGCUGUUAAAUGCACAGGCACAUCCACAGCAGACAGACAUCCUGGAGAGAUCAGAUGUGUGGCUUCCCCAGACACCAAAGCAGAUUUUCGGAGCAGCUUCCACUCUCAGAAUUGACUGUUGGCUUGCCUGUUGCUGGUGUUCUUGCAGCAGCUGACCUAGCACGGUCACAUUUGACUUUUCUAAGUAAACAAAUGCUUCAAAGUACACAGCUUAAUAGACAACUUCCUCUGGGACAGACAGUCUCAAAAUACAUCUGCUGGUUGUUUUAGAAUACUGUUUUUAAUUUUUAAAUUUUUACUUGAAAUAGAAUUACAUCACUCCCCCAUCCACGUCCUUACUCCAGUUCCUCCAACUUAACCUUCUCUCCUACCCCCUCCAAGUUGACUGCCUCUUUUAUCUUUGAUUAUAGUUGUUAUAUAUGUAUAUAUGUGUGGGUGUAUAUAUGUAUAUAUGUGUGCGAGCGCAUGUGCUUGCUUGCUUAUAUGUAUGUACAAAUAAAAAGAACCCGAUGAGUCCA